rfam:Alligator mississippiensis ScZkoYb_2033, whole genome shotgun sequence.
CGCGUCUGUGAUGCUCUAAUUUACCUACAUUGUUUGAUGGCUCGUGAGAAGAAAAUCCUUCAAACACUGAGAUGCCG